GGAGAAUCUCAAGGUUCUGUUCUUGCUUUGUUGGGUGGUGAGUGGAGCUCAGCUUCUGUGCUUUCCUGUGUGAAGUACUGAAACAGGUGUCAGCUGUGAUGCAUGUUUAAAAGGAAAUUUUCGAGGUCGACGAUUCAAGUGCUUAAUUUGCUACGAUUACGAUCUGUGUGCAACUUGUUAUGAAAGUGGUGCAACAACAACGAGGCAUACAACUGACCACCCGAUGCAGUGCAUACUAACAAGAGUAGAUUUUGAUUUGUACUAUGGUGGAGAAGCUUUCUCUGUAGAGCAGCCACAGUCUUUCACUUGUCCUUAUUGUG